GACGAACGCUGGCGGCGUGCCUAAGACAUGCAAGUCGAGCGGAGCGUGGGGCUUCGGCCUCAUGCUUAGCGGCGGACGGGUGAGUAACACGUGGAUAACCUGCCCUCAUCUCUGGGAUAACAGGCCGAAAGGCGUGCUAAUACCGGAUGAGCUCACGACCCCGCAUGGGGAUGGGAGAAAAGGCGCCUUGGCGCCGGAUGAGGAGGGGUCCGCGGCCCAUUAGCUAGUUGGUAGGGUAACGGCCUACCAAGGCGACGAUGGGUAGCCGGCCUGAGAGGGCGACCGGCCACACUGGGACUGAGACACGGCCCAGACUCCUACGGGAGGCAGCAGUCGGGAAUAUUGCACAAUGGGCGAAAGCCUGAUGCAGCGACGCCGCGUGAGCGAAGAAGGCCUGAUGUAAGACUCUGUGCCGUCGACGAAGGACGCAUCAGGAAGUGGGUGCGGGGAGGACGGGUAGGCGGGCGGAGGAAGGCCCGGCCGAACCUACCGUCGCCACGCAGCC
rnacentral:rRNA from 1 species